rnacentral:rRNA from 1 species
UACGGGGGGAGCAAGCGUUGUUCGGAUUUACUGGGCGUAAAGGGCGCGUAGGCGGCGCAACAAGUCACUUGUGAAAUCUCCGGGCUUAACUCGGAAAGGUCAACUGAUACUGUGCGACUAGAGUGCAGAAGGGGCAACUGGAAUUCUCGGUGUAGCGGUGAAAUGCGUAGAUAUCGAGAGGGAACACCUGCGGCGAAGGCGGGUUGCUGGGCUGACACUGACGCUGAGGCGCGAAAGCCCAGGGGGAGCGAACGGGG